UGGUUUAUGUACAAUAUAAUUUUCUUAGUAAAGUGUAUUGAGGUGCCAUGACAAGUGGUCUAUGGUCUAGGAUCUCCUCUAUAGAGUAAGGCGAGGUUGCUAGAUGUAGAUUGAUAUUGCUAUUUCUAGCAAAUGGGCGAAAUAGUGUUCCUCUUAUUACAAUUAAAUAAGGAACAGCGACAAUCAUGUAUGGAUGUGAUAUAAAAUUUUAGCAAUUAUUUUGUUAUAUUAAUGGAUGUUGCGUAUUUGAGGGAUCAGAGGGAGAACAAUGGUGUUGCAUUCAUUUUCAUUUGGUUGUCAAUUAAUGAGUGAAUCAUCUAAUUUAAACAUGUCAGAUAUUUUUUAUGCAAGCAGGAUUGACUGAUGCAAAUUAUACAAGCAGAGUUGAAAGAUGGAGAGUAAAAUAACUUAACUAUUAAGGGAGAAUGUGCACUACAGGAAUCAUGCCUUUGAACUAGACAGUUCUUCAGACAUGAGUAUCUAGAAUUUAAUUGUGACUUACACUUGGAUUGUACCAGAGUUUGCAGUGAUUAAAUUCUCCUAUUUUUUAUAAUAAGCCUGGUAUAUUGGUAGUAAUUAUUAUUUGUUAUUUACAACUUUGAAAUAUACUUGACAAGACAUUAAUGUUUUCUGAUGUCGGCUAAUUUCCCAUUCUUUAUUUUUUCGGACCUCAUAUAGGUCUUCCUCUACAGGUUGUUAGUUGCUUCGAAAAUCUGCUUCAACUGCAUUUGCAUUCUAGUAAUUCUAUCAAGCUUGUAGUUAACGUAUGCUACAAAUAGAGUUCUUGAAUUUGUUUGGUUAGUGCCUCAUACAUUUUCUGUUUUAUAAAUUUGAAUGAUCCAAUAGAACAUCUAACCAGACGAUGUUAACCCUUUCAGAGUUUGACACCUUGGAGAGCUUAGAGUCUCUAAAAUAUAUCCCCUCUAUUGAUCUAGAAGUACUCUUAUACUUUCAUGUGCAGAAUAUUCAUUCAUGCAUAUUAGUUGUAUACUCAUCGAUAUGAAUGAAUUUAUGUAAGUUUGAUAUUUUGACAUCAUAACUUGGAGUAAAUAACUAGACAAGGGGGAAAUAGAAAAAGAUGCAAAGGAAAUGGCAAUUUCUAAGGUACAAAACCGACCAAUUAUGCUUGUAUAUGCAUGCUAUAUGCUUUUGGAAAAGAUCAUGCCAGAAUAUUGUCGGACUGAUAUCUUACCUUUCAUUAUGGCAUGAUUUGUUUUGAUAUACCGACAGGAAUAAAAAGCUCUGUCAGUAUUGGGGUAUUGUUGUUACACCAGUGUACUGUUACAUUAUCAAACUGUUAUUGUAUAGUUGAUGCAUCACACAAUAUGUGAAACCUGCUUUUCUUAAUCUCUUCUCUUCUUUUAUGUUUCAUAAAUUAUUCCUGUAUUAAGGUUUUUCAUUUUAUUUUUCUUGGAAGAUUGAUCUUUUCCUGGAAUAAAUUUGAUUGUGCAGAUGG
rnacentral:lncRNA from 1 species